rnacentral:misc_RNA from 1 species
CUGGAAUUCAGAGAUAUCCUAUAGUUUGGAGCGGCAAUACUCCAUUGAUGAUGGAUUUUAUACAAGAAGAGUCAGACCAACUGUAAUCGCGGUUUGGUAUAGCAUCCUCCGACACUGGGAGAGACGUUCUGACAAGUUCAGAAACCUGAGAAAACCAUCAAGCUUCCACUCUGGGGGUGCUCAGAGAGCAAAAGAAUCAGGCACAAGAAAGAAAAUUCUUGAUCCCCAGGGGCCUUUUCUCCAGAAAUGGAACAAAAUAUUUGUGCUAGCCUGCGUGGUUGCUGUGUCCAUAGACCCCUUGUUCUUUUACAUUCCGGUGAUUGAUGGCAGCAACAAAUGCCUUGAUUUGGACAAAAAAAUGGAAACUACUGCUUGUGUUCUUCGAACCCUCAUCGAUGUUUUUUAUAUACUUCGUAUAAUUUUUCAAUUCCGUACGGGGUUUAUUGCCCCUUCCUCCCGUGUAUUUGGAAGAGGCGAGCUGGUUGAGGAUCCUAGCAUUGUCGCUAGAAGAUACAUGACCUCCAACUUCAUCAUUGAUGUCCUAUCAAUUCUUCCACU